GAGUUUCAGCUUCUUCCUCAUCCCCUGCUGCUAAUGGUGGAUGGAAGAAUCGGUUUUUGGCUGCUUUAGUUUCAAGGACUGCACAGGAAUGUGCCAAAACUGGUGCAACUCGUUCAACCUCUCCUCCUAGCACUCCUUCUGUGAAGGCCUAUUGAAUGCUAAUUGCUUUCAUAUGAUUUCAGAGUGGUUUGAUGGCAAUGUUGUAGCAUGUUCCUUUGCAAUUUGAAUGUUCAAAUUUACAGCAUAAACUACGAUACGGAUUUUUUUAUUUUUUUUUAAUUUAGAUCUCGUGGUAGCACACAUCAUUGUUCCCUUCUAAACUAAACCCAUAAACACCUUUUCAAUGUAUAUCCUUGCUCAUGAAAACAAAUACUAAAAGGUUACAUACUAUUCAUGAUGGUUCUGAAACUUCUUUAAUGUAAUAGUUUUAUCUCAUUCUUAUUUCUCACUUAUAUAUGUACCAUUUAUAUAACUGUCUCUUUACACCAGAGUCAUUGGUUGUGUUGGUUUUCCAGAUGGUAAAGAUAUGAUAUGAAACUAGUAAAGAUAUGAUAUCAAACAAAAUCACAAAUUGAAAAUCAACAUCCAAGGGGAGUAAACUUAGGGCUUAUGUUUUUCUCAUCCAUGUUUCUUGACUAAAACAACACAACAUGCAAGGGCUUUUACAGCAUAAAAAUAGUCCAGUGCAGAUAUUUUUAGUAAAACUCAAAACAGUAAAAGUUAUGCUGCACCCGUAAACAAAUAUAAGCCAAGGCAGUGAGGUAUCAAACCUUGAUACAAUGUCCUCACAACAGUUUUUGGCCAACUUUAUUUAAAGCUACCCUAUUGAAUAAAUAGGUAUUUACAAGAUAAAUAAGAUCAUGUCUAUAUUGUUCUGUGAUUAGUUUGUUCGUAAAUAUACAAUUGUAAUUUCCUAUGAAGAAAAAAAAUUCCUUGAGUUGAGUUGUCUUUUUUCUUUGGGUUGAUAUUUGUGCUGUGUGCUGAUUUCAAAAUAUUAAUCCAAAAUGAAACUAAUUUAAACAAGCAUAUGCCUGAAUUGCAAUAAAACUUGGUCGUUACAAUAGAAGGAGUUUCAAACCUAAUAAGAUGUGAUCAAAGAAAGCAUAUUUCUUCCCAUGUAGUAAUACCAGAUAUACGAAUCUUCUCAUGGGAAUGAAUACAAGGGCAAUUCCAAAAUGUUCCCAGAUGUUCUUUGGAUAUUGACAAUAUGAACUUGCAAAUAUAGUUGUUUGCUGUUAUUAUAUCAACUUAUUUAUCCAUUCCUAUAUUGAAGACAGGCCAUGUUGUUUCUUCUUCCUAUUAUAGUACAGGGCAAAAGGGGGUGUUUGCCUAAGAUGAAAAACAAAUGCAGCUUGUAAACCUAAAAGUAUAAAACUACCCUAGAAAAUCUUGAUUUAAACAGGCAAGCAUGAACAUCUAAGACAAAAAACUGAGGUUGAUUGAUUAAAAUACAUAAUCAACCAAUGUCCUUUUUAUGGUCUCUUCUUUAAUGCAAAGGAAAACUUAACUAUCUCUGCAAUAUGCACAAAAUUUUCAAGACCAUGAAAACCCAAUCAAAAACAAACGAUGUUAAUAUUUAAGACCAAUCAUCAGCUUCCUAAAACACAACUCCCAACAUUUUCAACCCAAAGUGUUUCUCUCCUGGUCGGCACCAGAUGAUUUCGGGAUGUCUCGGUAUUCAGUGUCGACCGACAGACAUGUUUAAAUACAUUAAGGUAUAAGGAUGGUUAACAAGGCUAAACCGUACGAAAAAUUAGUAAACCGUACGAAAAAUUAGGUAAUACUCUACAUGCUAAUCUCGGCCCAACUAACAGAACUUAUCAUAGUAGUAUAAAUAGGUGCAAUAAUCAAAACAAAGAUACAUCAUUAUUAUGCAUCUAUUGCAUUGAAUACUAAACACUUACUUUUGAGCAUCAAAGUAUCUUUUACAAGUGUCUUUCCAACCGAAAGUAAAGAGUUAAGAGCGAAGAAAGAAAGAAGCAGAAUCCGACCGAAGGAGUUAAUUGUUCCACUGUAAAAGAUACUCUCGGCCCCUCUAUACAAUAACAGAUUCAAAUUGAAUAGACGAGGGAUUGGAGGGAUGGGUGGACCUAUUUAUGAAUCCUAAUAGUCAUAGUUUGCAAAGAAAACCUCAUAAAUAAGCUUGUUUCUAAGAACCGAGAAGAGUGAGAGAAGAAACUAAAUAGGAUAAAUAAUAUUCUCCUGAGCUUUCUAGUUGAAAUUAUCAGUGACUAGAGAGUUGUAGUAUGUGACAUCUGAGAGUGAAUACAAGUUUUUCGUGCCUUCAUUAUUUGAGAAAUGGAGGAAUACCUUUGGUGUUUCAGUGCAAUUCAUGUCAUUUUUUUAGGAUCUGUGAUCCUUAGGUUAGAUUGGAGUGAUUCCAUUAUUAAAAUUAUUUGAAUAGGAUAUAGAAUACAAAUUACUAGACUAAAAUACAAUUUUGAUCUUCCUUUUUUUAAUCCAUGAUUUUUUUAACAUAGAGUUAUUUCGACCAACCCUACAAAUUAAGUUAAUACCUUAAUAAUUAAGAUAUUAAUAUUUACUUACAUGUCAUAUACUUUUAUCUAACCAAAAAAAUAAACAAUGACAUAUAAUAUAUAUAUAUAGGGAAAAAAAGAAAAAAAAAAUACCAUGGCGUGUGGUCGUCGUGUUGGAAAACUCUGAAUCCGCGAUUGCUUCUAGAAUCUUCUAUUUGAAUUCACUGUGUUAUAUUGAAUAUUCUUCAAAUUAUUCAUCAGUUUUUCGAUCUUUCACAAAACUCAGAACCCUAUUGGUAUAU
rnacentral:lncRNA from 1 species